UCUCCGUUGGUGAACCAGCGGAGGGAUCAUUGCUGGAACGCGCCCCAGGCGCACCCAGAAACCCUUUGUGAACUUAUACCUUACUGUUGCCUCGGCGCAUGCCGGCCCCGUAUGGGGCCCCUCCCCGGAGGAGCAGGCACGCCGGCGGCCAAGUUAACUCUUGUUUUUACACUGAAACUCUGAGAAAUAAAAAACAUAAAUGAAUCAAAACUUUCAACAACGGAUCUCUUGGUUCUGGCAUCGAUGAAGAACGCAGC
rnacentral:misc_RNA from 1 species